GCCAUCUGAAUGCUCAGAGCCUGUUUUAAUAUCAUUAAUAGGAUAUAAAGAUGUCCCAGUUCAAGACUGGUGUGACACUCAGGUGCAAUAUUCACAAUAACUGUGGGAAAAGUAGCUUGAUUGUUUCAGGUCAAAAUCACAUUCAGGCAAACAGGAUCUCUCCAACCUGCUCCAGAAGAAUGCAUUACAAGAAUAGAGCAGAUGUGGCCAACCAGCCCUGGAUGGAGGAAUGAGGCCUACCUUCAAAUGUCAUCCACACUGAAACCAUCUUCUUCUCAAGGUUACAGUGUAGCUCUUCACCACCUCCUCUCAUGACAAAACUGUCCUUCCCAAGGAUGCUCAGCCAGCCUCAACUAAAUGUUUUCCUGGACUUUGACCUAUUCUAGAAGUUGUUUAAGAUUCUUCAUGUCUUCUAAUGACUUGCCCAUGUAAUUGGCUUUUUAGGCCAGCCACCCCUCUCCAGGACUGACCACUUGGCCAGGACCAACUCCACACAGGCCUCACUCCCAGAUGGAGGCUCAAGUCCCAGGUCAGCCCUUCCUGGUCACAGCACUGCCCACCCCUACCCACAGGACAAGCUGCACUCUGCCACCAUGACCACGGGGACCCCAGGACAGAGACUCCCGGCGCCGUCUGCACCUGCAGGCCACCUGUGUGGGGACCUCCAGGAGCUCUGUGCUGAGCCCUCUGGAGUCGGGGACUCAAAGUUCUUCAUCACUCUUAGCAUGUGUAUGUGGGAGGGCAGCGUGGAGCCCCCUGUGGAGGGACAGUGUGCAGGGGCCUCACACUGUUAUGCAGGGAGUUCCCAUUCCACCAGCACCUCCAGCCUAGGUACGUCCCUGAAGACCCAGAAACAAACGCUGGAAUGAAAACUUGUGUGUGAAUAUUCACAGCAGCACCAUGCACAAGGGUCAGAAGGGAGAAGUGACCCACGUGUCCACUGAGGAGGAAUGGGGGAACAGGACGAGUCCAUCAACAUGGUGGAAUAUUACUCAGCCCUGAAAAGGACUGCAGCUCUGACACAUGCUGCAAGUGGGACAGACUUUGAGACAUGGGUCUCAGUGAGAGAAGCCGAUACAGAGGGUCACUCAGUGUGGACUCCGUGGGCAGGUCCUAUCCAUAGCAGGCCAUCGAGACACAGGCAGUGGGCAGGUGCCUUUCAGGGGUAAAUAGACUGUUUGGAAGUAAAGGCACUGGGCGCCCAGUGCUGUGAAGGCACCUGAUGUCUGGCUCGAUCCCUAGCAGAUGGACUUGUGCACGUCCAGCACAGCUACAGCCCAUGCUCAGGUUCCUGCUCUCAGUGACCCAGCACCAAGUGGAGGCAGAGAGGCCAACUUCAGAGAUGCCAGUGUCGACCACAUGUUCUGGGGACUGCAGGUGACCCGUGGGGACCUUGGAGAACACACGGGGGCAUUACAAGCUGAAGUUGGGUGACACUGGACAUAGCAUGGGGCAGUCCUGCCACAUCCCAGGGCAGCAGCUGCAGAGAUGACAUUGAGGUGGCCGUAUUUAUUGUCAGCUGUGAACAGCGGUCAGGCGGGGAGCACCCCACCAGAGCUGAGCCUGGCCCGACCCCAGGGACGGAGGCCUGGUGUGAGCUGCAUUGGAAGGUGGGGUUCCUCAGCCAGUGAAGUGGCAGGAUGCAAGGCCUCUCACCCCCAGGCCCAGGACCUGCAGGAGGAGAGGGUGGAGGUGAGUCCCUGGGUGCGGCUGAGUCUCCCGGCAGCCCCAGCCACGGCAGUGCCAGCCACGCCAGCUUCCUAAACCUCCUGUAAAUGUCUCUGUGCACAGCAGGGCACGUGGGGCCUCGGGAGGGCUGUUUUCCAGGUGGACAGAUAUCCCCAUGGAUGCUGCCAAGUCUGCUCCAGUCUCCGAGAUCAAGAUGCGUUACACCUGGCUGAGCAGACGUGGCCGGGAGCCAAGCUGACCCUGGCAGGGAGACCCCACUGACCUUGAAGACGUGUCCUGCCUACAACUCCCGCAACAGCUGCUCUGGACUCAGGCUGUCCGCUGCAGAGGUCACACACAAGUCGGGGUAGUCAGCCCCCCCACCCUGGAAGCAGCAGGAGGUCACCCUGAACACUGGCAUCUCCAGGGUGCACAGCCGCGUCCCUGUGAGUAAAGCUCAGGUACGUCCCUGAAGCCCAGCCACCCGCCUGCUGUAGGACCCCAGGUGGCCUGACUGUGCCCACUCCCCAGUGGGGCCCUGGGCCUACUGGUUCUCCCUGGCACCUGCAGCACUUGAUCCCCAGCUCUGCCCUGACUCAUAGACUGCAGGGGUCAGCAGGGCCACCUGGAGCCCAGGAGCUGGAGAGGCCAGGCUCCUGGAGGGAGCUGGACACCAUUGUAAGAGGUGAGUCCUGUCCACAUUUGCACCCCAGAACCUGUGAGGGGGACCUGGUGUGGUAACAGGGUCUCUGCAGAGGUCAUUAGUGAAGGGUCCUGAGAUGGGCUCCUCCUGGGUCAGGUGGCCCUCAUGCAAUGGCCGUGUCCUCCCAAGAGACAGAAGAGGGGACACAGACCCUGAAGAUGGGUGACACUAGAGCAUGGAGCACUCCUGGGGGGGGGGGCACAUCCCAGGGCAGCAGCUGCAGAGAUGACAUUGAGGUGGCCACAUUUAUUGUCAGCUGUGAACAGUGGUCAGGUGGGGAGUGCCCUGCCAGAGCUGAGCCUGGCCCAACCCCAGGCACGGAGGCCUGGCUGGAGCUGCAUUGGAAGGUGGGGUUCCUCAGCCAGUGAAGGAGGAGGAGCCCCGUGGAGAAAGAGACUGGACUGAGGGGCCACCAGCCAGGGCCACCUGGAGCCCAGGAGCUGGGAGAUGCAGGAGGAGCCUCCCUGGAGCCUGUGCAGGGAGCUCAACCUGGGACCCUGGUCCAGCCUCCACCCUCCAGGGUGGGACAGGACAAGGUCCUGUGGUUUACAUCGCUGGUUUGUGGUCAUUUUCUACAUCAGCCCCAGUGUUCCCUACACUGGCCAAGUGCUGAGGGGCCACCCUGGCACUCCCGCCAUCUGCACAGGUCGCCCUGUAGCUGGACAAGCAUGUGGUGCUGCCUUCCCACUCCCAGACCCUGAACACCAUAGCACAGAGCACCCCAUGGCCCCUCCUUGACUGACUGCCCUGUGCACACACCUGUCUCGGGAUUCCAUGAGGAUCACCCUGCCUCUGUCAAUGCAGGCCACCCAAAGUGUCCCCGUGGUGUCCAUGCACAGCCCUUCUGGCAUUCCUUGCUCUGGCUCCAGCUGGCACACCAGCCAUGGGUUUGCUGCGGCAGGACAGAGGCACAUGGCCCCUCACAGCCCAGACCAGGAGGUCAUGUUGCAUGUCCUCAACCAUGGGAGGGAGUUACAGACCUGGUGGUGCAUCUGGGACCCCAGGAGGGGACUCGGGAGGAUGUCAGGGGACUGGCCACAAAGGCCCCCCCAGGGAGGGUGUGGGGGGCUGGCCA